CGCACAUUGCGCCCUUCGGUAUUCCGUUGGGCAUGCCUGUUCGAGCGUCAUUUAAGCAUUCAAGCUCAGCUUGGUGUUGGGUGCUUGUCCUCCCCCGCGGUGGACUCACCUCAAAUGCAUUGGCGGCCGGUAUGUUGGCUUCGAGCGCAGUAGAAACGCGCCAGACGCCCUGACAUGCUAGUCCCCCACAAGACCACUCUUUAUAGCUUGACCUCGGAUCAGGUAGGGAUACCCGCUGAACUUAA
rnacentral:misc_RNA from 1 species